CAGGGAGACAACAAAAUGUAAAUAUUAAUUUUGUCACCUUAGGUCGAUCGGUAUCUCAGAUUCUUAUUUUUUUAAGAAUUUCAGUUUCUAAGUUUUUUCUAGGUCACACCCAUCACUUUUCCUGGGCCAUUAGCUCAGGUGGUUAGAGCGCACCCCUGAUAAGGGUGAGGUCCCUGGUUCAAGUCCAGGAUGGCCCAUAUCUCUAUGUUGGGGGUAUAGCUCAGUUGGUAGAGCGCCUGCUUUGCAAGCAGGAUGUCAGCGGUUCGAGUCCGCUUACCUCCACUGAAUACCACCUCUUACAUAUAUUUAAAGAGGGAAAUUGUUUUGAGUCGUGUCCUAAUUUGCUCUGAGCGAAUCUAGCUUCCUAUUUUAUUCUAUAAACUAAGAUGCUGGACUCAUUGAAUUUUUUUCAUUGUUUUCAGAGAACCUUGACAACUGCAUAGAUUAUUUUUGAAGACAAUAAGCAUCUUUAAUGAUGCAGAUUUAUUAUUUGUGCGAAUGCAUUAAAUAACAAUUCUAUUAAGCUGAUGCUUCAAUUAUUGAAGUUAUU
rnacentral:tRNA from 1 species